GGGUGUGAGGGCGAUCUGGCUGCGACAUCUGUCACCCCAUUGAUCGCCAGGGUUGAUUUGGCUGAUCUGGCUGGCUAGGCGGGUGUCCCCCUCCUCCCUCACCGAUCCAUGUGUGUCCCUCCCGUCCCUCCCGAAGAAGACGACCUUCCCCCCCCCUGAGGAGAGGACCGAUCUUCGGUCAAGGGUAUACGAGUAGCUGCGCUCCCCUGCUAGAACCUCCAAACAAGCUCUCAAGACACAGUGAGCAUUUCUAACUAAAGUCUAUAGUUUAAAAAAGUGUCAGUCUCUAUAU
rnacentral:snRNA from 1 species